rnacentral:rRNA from 1 species
UACGGAGGGUGCGAGCGUUGUCCGGAAUCAUUGGGCGUAAAGGGCGCGUAGGUGGCCUGCUAAGCGUGCGGUGAAAGUCGGGGGCUCAACCCCCGAUCGGCCGUGCGAACUGGGAGGCUUGAGCACUGUAGAGGCAGGCGGAAUUCCGGGAGUAGCGGUGGAAUGCGUAGAGAUCCGGAAGAACACCGGUGGCGAAGGCGGCCUGCUGGGCAGUUUUGCUGACACUGAGGCGCGACAGCGUGGGGAGCAAACAGG